CGCGCAGGCGGUCCUUUAAGUCAGGGGUGAAAGCCCAGAGCUCAACUCUGGAACUGCCUUUGAAACUAGAGGACUUGGGUACGGGAGAGGUGAGUGGAAUUCCGAGUGUAGAGGUGAAAUUCGUAGAUAUUCGGAAGAACACCAGUGGCGAAGGCGGCUCACUGGCCCGUUACCGACGCUCAGGCGCGACAGCGUGGGGAGCAAACAGGAUUAGAUACCCUGGUAGUCCACGCCGUAAACGAUGGAUGCUAGCCGUUGGUAAGCAUGCUUAUCAGUGGCGCAGCUAACGCAUUAAGCAUCCCGCCUGGGGAGUACGGCCGCAAGGUUGAA
rnacentral:rRNA from 1 species